CUAACUGUGAACCAGAUAAACUCGAGCUUUCAACUAGAUAAUGGAUUCCAACUAAAGAUAAAGCAUGAUUGAACAUUGGAUGUGGAGGAGAAGCCCUCCCAAUUCAAUCAAUCCCUCCUCAAAUCAUGCAAUUUCUCACCUAGAGAGAGAGAAAUCCUAGCUUUUGUUUUCAUGUUUCCAAUUAUACUGCUUAUAUUUUCAGUCGCAUGAUCUUUGAUAGAUAAGUCAUAUAAAGAACUGACAUCAACCAAUGCUAACUACCAA
rnacentral:lncRNA from 1 species